rnacentral:rRNA from 1 species
UACGUAGGUGGCAAGCGUUGUCCGGAUUUACUGGGCGUAAAGGGAGCGUAGGUGGAUAUUUAAGUGGGAUGUGAAAUACCCGGGCUCAACUUGGGGGCUGCAUUUGAAACUGGAUAUCUAGAGUGCGGGAGAGGAGAGCGGAAUUCCUAGUGUAGCGGUGAAAUGCGUAGAGAUUAGGAGGAAUACCAGUUGCGAAGGCGGCUCUCUGGACUGUAACUGACACUGAAGCACGAAAGCGUGGGGAUCAAAC